rnacentral:lncRNA from 1 species
UUAAUCGCCCAGAAACGUCGUCAAGGUUCUUUGAGUGCAGUCAUUGAUAAGCUAACUCGUAGUACUAACGUACCUGGAGGAGGUGAUGGGUCAAAUCCUGGAGAAGGUGUGCCUAAAUUUGAAAACUGUUCUAGACCUGAUAGUAGUAGUAACAGUGGUAAUGGGCCCGGUGGAGCUCGAUUUAAUGCGAAUACUGGAGUAUCUAGUUCAAUGAAUAAAAUAGCGGAAAGCAAGAUGAAAUAUAGCCGCAGUUCCGAUCAGUUUACCAUGAGACUGAUAUCACGAAACACUUUAAAGUUUACGGUGACCAAAACAAAGCCAUCAUCAACAAUGCCCGAGAAUAGAUCAAAGAAACCAGCUAUU